rnacentral:rRNA from 1 species
AUUGAACGCUGGCGGCAUGCCUUACACAUGCAGGUCGAACGGUAGAGGGGGCAACCUCUCGAGAGUGGCGAACGGGUGAGUAAAGCAUCGGAACGUGCCCAGUAGUGGGGGAUAGCCCGGCGAAAGCCGGAUUAAUACCGCAUGAGACCUACGGGUGAAAGGGGGGGAUCCCAAGACCUCUCGCUAUUGGAGCGGCCGAUGUCAGAUUAGGUAGUUGGUGGGGUAAAGGCCUACCAAGCCGACGAUCUGUAGCUGGUCUGAGAGGACGACCAGCCACACUGGGACUGAGACACGGCCCAGACUCCUACGGGAGGCAGCAGUGGGGAAUUUUGGACAAUGGGCGAAAGCCUGAUCCAGCCAUGCCGCGUGCGGGAAGAAGGCCUUCGGGUUGUAAACCGCUUUUGUCAGGGAAGAAAUCCUUUGAGUUAAUACCUCGGGGGGAUGACGGUACCUGAAGAAUAAGCACCGGCUAACUGCGUGCCAGCCGCCGCAGUAAUAC